rnacentral:lncRNA from 1 species
GCACCGGCCAGCUAGCCCCUUUGUGCGGCGGGGGCUGCGGAGUGCUCCCUCCAAGACCGGUUGCACCCCGCUUUCCUGGCCAGGACUCUGGGCGCGGUUGGAGGCAUCUGUCCACCCAUGUGGUUCCAGACACGUUCAUGUGGCCACCAUGACCCCGUCGGCAUCACAGGGGUAACCAAGAACGAGGGGAAAGGGUCACUGUGGAUCAAGCCAGGCUCCUCUGAGCAGUCCAGGGUCUAUUUACAGAGAGCAGCAAGUUCCUGGGACAGAGGAGACAGAAGGGAAUUUCCAGGUUCUUCAGGACGUUCACAACCACACUGAGAAGCAUCUUUGCAGAUAAGUAUUUAAACUUACCAGCCCAUAGCCUACCAGCCUGCCCUCUUCUGGUCUGUGCAGGAAAGUGUAGUAUCCUAGAAUGCCAAAGUGGGAGGGGAAAUGGGUGAUGUAGCUCAUUCUCUUUUCUACCUCUAUGGAAGAAAGAAAGAGCCUGUCCCCAUUUUGUGGGGUCCCAGAAAGGGUGAUUUUCACACUUCACAUUUGGCGUUAGGGCUAGUAUUUCACAAACAUUACCGUCUGGAACUUUUGAAGGCUGAGUUAAAUGACUUCAUCUUGUGUACUUGUAGAACUGCUAUUA